CCUACGGGAGGCAGCAGUCGAGAAUCAUUCACAAUGGGGGAAACCCUGAUGGUGCGACGCCGCGUGGGGGAAUGAAGGUCUUCGGAUUGUAAACCCCUGUCAUGUGGGAGCAAAUUAAAAAGAUAGUACCACAAGAGGAAGAGACGGCUAACUCUGUGCCAGCAGCCGCGGUAAUACAGAGGUCUCAAGCGUUGUUCGGAAUCACUGGGCGUAAAGCGUGCGUAGGCUGUUUCGUAAGUCGUGUGUGAAAGGCGCGGGCUCAACCCGCGGACGGCACAUGAUACUGCGAGACUAGAGUAAUGGAGGGGGAACCGGAAUUCGCGGUGUAGCAGUGAAAUGCGGAGAUAUCGAGAGGAACACUCGUGGCGAAGGCGGGUGCCUGGACAUUAACUGACGCUGAGGCACGAAGGCCAGGGGAGCGAAAGGGAUUAGAUACCCGAGUAGUC
rnacentral:rRNA from 1 species